rnacentral:tRNA from 1 species
GGCUAGGUGGCGGAACUGGCAGACGCGCAGGACUCAAAAUCCUGUGAGGGCAACCUCGUGAGGGUUCGAGUCCCUCCCUGGCCA